UUGUAGCGUUAAUUUCAUACAGUAUCGUAUAGCAAAUAUAUCCCUACAAAGUUUAAUUUUUCAUAUUUAUUUCUGCAAAAGUUCAGCGAUAUUCAUAUUUGCCUCUCUAAUUUAUUACAGUUAGAAUAUUAUUUAUUUUUUAAUAAAAGAUAAGUGAAAUGAUAUUUCUAUCAUCAUAAAUAUAUCUAUCCAAAAGCCGCAACUAUUAGAAUUAUACAGAGAUGUCCUUCGAAAAAUUCCCAACUAUGGUUAGUCAUUUUAUCUCUAGUUAACAAUAUUUUUCAAACGGAUCAUAACAGUAGAGGGUAUAUUUGAAAUAGUUAAAAUUUUUACAUAAAUAAAUAUAAAAAGUCGAACUUUAUAAAAAGAUAUCUGCUGUUCGAUAUGUUUAUAGAAUGCUUUAUACAAUUAAUCAUGAUUGUAAGUUUUAAUCACCUAGUUCAGUGUAGUUUUUCUUUCUUUUUUUUUUUCUAUUUUGAUGCAUAAUCAUAAUUAAAUAUCAAGAAUAAAAUAUUAUAUUCGGUCUCAACUGUUUUGAUACCUGAAUAAAAUAUUAGAUUAGAUUCUGCCACCAUGAGAGGCCACGAAUUAAAACCCUUUUUUUUCAAUUUUUAAAUUCCUAGAGAAUGGUAUUCCUAAACCUUAUAUAUAUAUAUUUAUUAGGGAUAAUUACUUAUAUACUCCUCAUAUAUUUGAAAAUAUUCGAUUUACUCCUACUUUUUUUUUUUUUCUAAAAUACCCCUCAUAUGUUCCACCGUUAUUGCAAAAUACCCCUGCAGUUAUCUUCUAUUAAGUUAACUUAGGUUAAACGUGAGUUAAAUAUCUACCACAGUUAAAAAAAAUUAAAAUGCCAAUGUUGUCCUUAACUUAGGGCAAAUAAGAAAUAUUGGUGACGGUAGAGGGGUAUAUUGGAAAAGACCAAAAGUUAAAAUACUUUUUGUGCCCCUGACUUUAAGGCCAAAUAAAAAAAUCAAUGAUAAUGGAAGAGAUAUUUGAAAGGGCAAAAUAAUAAUUUUACAGAAAUAACAUAAUUAAUUAACAGAUUUUAACUUUAGGAGUAUAUUAGAAAUAGAUUGGAACGUAGAAAGGAUAUUUCAAUAUUAGCCUUUUAAGAGGGGUAAAUCGAAAAAUCAAAAAUUUUUCAGGAAUAUAUAAGUAAUUGCCCCUAUUUAUUAAUAUAUU
rnacentral:lncRNA from 1 species